CAGUGUAAACUUCCCCACGUUGUUUUGCCUGUGGCCUCCUGGCCCUGGUAGGACAUGAUUGUAGCCCAGACCAUGUAGAAAUGCUCAGGAACAGCAAGGUGUGGAGAUGAGGCUGCAGAGGAUCUAAGGUUGCAAAAGCUGGAAUAGCCACAAAGGGAUUUUGCUCAUUGAUUUCAUACCUUCAGUUGUUUCUCUUGAGCUUUUUUGUGGGGACAGACCUGUCCCUCCUAUUUGCCCCACCAACAUGCCAUAGGGCUGUUGAUAAUGCAGUAAGAACAGGGCUGUCCUAACACCCACAUGCCACACCAGCCUGUGGAGUUUGGGAUUAACUUCAGAUUUUGUUACAUGAUUCCCUGUUUCACAGUGCUCUUACAGUAUAAACCAUUAGACUUUUUUUCAAAUUACUAAAGCCGUGCAGGAAGAGAUUUGUGUCUCCAUUUUUCUGUGUGGAGUGAGUGUCCCAUCUAUUUGUCUGUAUGUCCCCUGACUAGUAAGGCUGCUCCCUCAUUGCAACACACAGAGUCCAACCCAUUCAGACCUUCUACACAGGUAAACAUGAACCUUAGCUCCUGAACUGCUCAGCACAAUGGACUUUUGCCUGCUGACAUCCAGCCUGGUGCAACUUUAAGGGAUUACCUGGUUACUAUCCAUACAGAACCUGAAUGACAUGUACAUGGUGCUUCUGUGUGAGUCUGAGAAAAGAAAAGCCUCAGGCAUAUUGGUGAGUCAACUUUGGCUGGCCAAUGUUUCUAAAAUAGACCAAAAACAAAGAGGAGAGAGAAAGAAAGCAGUAACCUGUGCUGCUGCACUAAGCCAGCUAAUGAUUCAUUUUCCUUCUGCAAAAUGAACUGAUGGUUCUCACUGAGGUUACCAAUUAGUGCUGCUUAUCAGUUCUCCUUGAGCAGUGAUUCACUCCUCAGCUCCUGAAGGGAACUUGUGAGGCCAAGCCUUGGCCUCAGGGUUUGCUACUCUCUUCAUUAGCCCAGCUCAGGAAGCAGUGCUUAGAAAAUCUGAAUCCAGAGGGUGAGGUUCAUUUCUCAGCUGGGUGGAUGACAGAGGGCUGUACUUCCUGUCAGUCAUGGCAGCAUCUCUGUUGGGCCAGGUCUGGCUUAGCUGUGAUGCAAGCAGGUGGAACAGGGCAGGUCCUGCAGCUCUGUUGCUAAGUGUUGUCUUGGUGACAUGAGAGAUGAGGAAAUGUUCCCUGACCCUCUCAGCGCAGGUUGGCAGGUCAUCUGCUCAGCCAACAAAAUGGGCAGCCUCCAUCGGAAGCAGAACUGCCAUGCUGGAAGCCUGCACAUGUUGCGUAUUCUUGGCAAGGUGAUCCUUGGAGGAGCCACCCCAGCAGGGACAGCUUUCAACCCACAGGUGCACACAGGCUUUUUUAUUAAAAUAGGCUUGUCUGCAGCUGAAUUCCUAGUGCCUCUGAGGAACAAAACAGAUGUUUGACUCGCUCGUAACAAUGUGGGAUGCAGUAGAUACCAUGAUGAAUACACAGAGAAGGUUUGAUUUGAUGUUUGAGCUGGACAAAAUAUGUUCCUCUCUUCAGCCCCUUGCAUGAAACCUCUACCCGUUGUUUCAUUUGCCAGGUUUGUCUUCAGUGGUGUGAUGCUGGCCUAUCUGGUUACCUUCAGCUUUCCAUACACCUUUCACUGUGCUUUAUAACAAAUGGCAGGAUAAAUACGUUCAGGAAGCUGAAUACAUGUAAGAAUGGCAAGAAGUACAUAGUGAACUUGUCCAUGCUUUUCUCAGAAACAAACUCCACUAACCAGACAGCUUGGCAAGUCACUUUUACUUUAAAUUCCUAGCUAUUCCUGGCGACUGUCCAAUGAGUCACAGAGCAGAAUAAAGCAUAUUUCUGCUGGUUUUGCCAGAGUAAUUACUCCUCUGGCUUACCAUACGCUCUGAGGAAAUGGCAGAGGACUCAGAGCUAUUGUCCUUUGUCCUGUAAAGAAGCACUCUUGCACAGCUUGCUUUGGAAGUGCAGCGACUGAGGGGAGUUGUACCAUGCCACAGCACUUUGGCAAUUCCAGAUCUUUGCCCCUCCCAGGUCACAGAUCACUUCAGGAAUGAAUGUCCUUUCUGACCUCUGCCUGUCUGUAAGACUGGGAAAGGGGCAGGUUUUGUUUUGGGGGGCAGUAAAACCAGUUGUCUCUUUUUCUGUAUCCCGAGUCCCUUGUUAGCUGAACACUGGCCUCUUCUGAGACAAAACUGAUCCUAAAAUAUGCACAAAGUUGCUGCAGUUACCUGUACAGAGUGUGCUUUGGAAAUCCCUUUUUCUUCAAGUGUUAUAUGUAACAGGCAAAACCAGGUGUAGGUUGAAACCCGAUUUACAAGCAAAAGGAUGUGGCUCGCCAGGACAUGGGCCUUAUCUGAAGCGAUAUGGAGACACCCAGGUGCUGAUCAUCGCGUGAACGACCCGAGAUGGACAUCAGGAACAUCCCCCGGGCUGAUACAGAAAGUAGUAUUAAGCUGCCAGGCCUGUUUUGGGGUGAAGUCUAGACUGGGCUCAGAGAGGAUGGUGCACUUUCCUGAAUCCUGCAAGGUGCAUGAGGAGAGACACAGGGCUCUGGACAUUCAGCUGGAGGAGGGAAGACUUAGGAGAAACUUGACAACAACUUUUCAAUACGAGGCUGAAAUCUGUCUGUGGAGUGUCUCAAGGCACGACUGUAAGAAGUGGGAAGCAGCCCAGUGCGAAUGCAGCAUUCACCCUGCUGUGAGCGGGAGGCUGGAGGAGAGACCUCCUGGGCUUCUUCCAGUCUGGAUGAGGCUGAGAGUGGGAUCCUGCCAUGGUAAGCAGAAAGCUUUUAAUUUACCUACUGUAUGGAAAUGUAGAAGGCUGAGCUCCUCACCCUUGCUAGAAGCACUGACGCGAAGAAUAAAGCUUUGCUCCUGGUAACAAGGAGCGGCUGCUGAGGGUGGCAGCGCAGCUGAGGAGCAGCUCAGCUUCCACCACUGCUUCCACUUCCCUGCGUUCCGCUGGCUGAAAGGCGAUUGUCCUUUACUGCCAUCUCCUGGGAAAAAACCCACAGAUUUCCAGCCUGCCCUGUUGUUCUGCCUCAUCUCCUGCAGGGAUUUCCUGCCUUUCCCUAGGCUGGCUUCCGUGUUUGUCCAGAGCCAUCCUCAGGAUGUGGGGUCUCAGCAGUGUAAUGUGCAUCUCUGUACACCGGUGUUUCCUACCCAGUGGAAUCCUGAGCCUCCUCUGUCCAAGUGUUUCAAAUGUAAAGCCAUAGGAACAUUG